UCCUCUUGAUUCUUUCAUUUUCUGUUCCCAUAUAUUUGUGUUAACUAGGUCAUGUUUCAGGAUGAAUCUAUGUUGAUACGGUACUCUGGCAAAAAAGUGAAACAACUUAAACUAAGCAAUGUUUCAAGAAUUAUUCUUGGACAGUGUACUUUCAUCCAAAUCUCUCUCUCCAUUCAUAUCUACUCUUGAGUUAAGGCCUCAACCUUUCAAUAUAUGCCACCGAUUUUGAGGAUGAUUUCUUCUUAAAAGUUGCAGCUAGAAAAAGAGGAUGAAAAAGAAAAACUCAAGA